rnacentral:lncRNA from 1 species
AACUGGGCCUUGGAGUCUGUGGUCAGUCUAGUGAGAAAACUAACAGGAUCAUUGCUCCUGCAGGUAUGUGACCAUGAGCUCCGGUGUCAGUGCAAAGAAGGAUGGGCCCCUCCCGACUGCAGUGACUCUUCAGUGGCCUUCCACUUCUCCAUUGCGGUUGGCGUGCUGUUCCCAGUGGUGGUCAUCUUUGUGGUGGUUGCCAUAGUAAUCCGGCACCAGAGCUCCAGAGGAAAGCAGAAGAAAGUUCAGAAGGCACCAUCUACUGCUGGCACCAGACCACACAAACAGAAGAGGAGACUUCAGGUGGUGAAGGCUGUUCAACCCCAAGAGAUGAGUCAGGCGAAGCUCCCUGUGUCUGAUCUGCCAGUAGAAGACAGUGAACCUCCAGCUUAUUUUUUAAUUACAAAGCCAGAUUUUCCACCACCACCGAUUCCUACAUCUAUAUCCUCAUCUUUUCUCCAUAAAGACACAAAAGCACUUCCCUCUAAUGUUUUCAAGGAUAAGCCAAUGUCUACACCUAAGGUAAGAGAUCCAUGGCCAAAUUAUUAUAAUUUUGGAUCAUAAUCUCCUAGUAUCAAGGGGAGAAGUUCGAAUCAUGUCUUCUUAGACGUUUACUAAGAACUGUAUCUGUAUGAUUGUGGGACAGGCGCUAACAUGAAUGUCUUCUGAGUUAGGCCAAUGACCAAGACGAGGGAGAUCGGAAUGUCUCAGCUAGAAAGCUAUGAUGACCCCAAUAUUCUUCAUUUGUUCAGAAAUAUCCACUAAGAAUGAAUAUUCUAUAGGAGGAAAUCUCUCAAAGAAUAAUUACUCGGUAUCCCAUAACCCUCUCCUUGUCCCCCAUCCUCUCCAUAUUAUGCUAAUCACUGAGAUGGAUAUUUGGACCCCAGUGUGGUAUUUUUCUCACCUUUGAUUCCUACCCUCCCAUGUUUCCACUCCUUUACUGUUGUUCUAUUAAAUAACCUAUAACAUAGGAAAUGUGGCCUCAGAUAAUUGAUUUUUAAUUUUUUAAUAAAAAGAAUUCAUCGUUUCAUAAUAUAGAAUAUCUAAAUCAAAGUUUCAUAAUAUAGAAUAUCUAAAUUUGGGGGAAAAGUUGAUUACUUAAGAGUUUUUUUCUUUUUUAGGGCUCAAAUCUCAAAGUAUGAAGCAACAGCUAAGUAAGAAUUGAUGAAUAAAUGCUCAACUUGAAAGAUUGGACAAUUGGAAUAAAAAAGAAAUACAUUUACUUUCUCACUGGUGUUUGCUCUUGACAGUCAAGGAGGUUAAUAUUUCCUGAUUCAUGUUAUAUUUUGAAAAUAUUAAACAAAAUUUUUCGAGAGAGACUUUGAGAAUCUUUGUAUGAUUUUAAAGUUUCUGUUACCCAUACUCUUAAGAAAGAAGAUGACUCUAAAGAAAUACCUCUGAAGCUUAAAUCUCUAAGAUGAUUUUCCUAGACAACCCUCCUUUUGCACAAUGAUGUUGACUGAUAUUUGUUCAAAUUUUUUGAACACUUUGAUUUUGCUCUUUUGAUAGACAGUAAUUCACUCUCUAAUGAAAACAAAACAAAACCAAACAAAAAUCACAGAAACCUGGGAAAAAUAAGAGAAAAAUGGUCCAUUUUUUAUUAAAUGUGUAGCGACAUCUUGAU